ACUUUUUUCUUUGCCAAAUUGCAAAAAGUUUAUGCUAUUUUCAAUCCAAUCAUGGAUAUUAUGCUUGUUAUAUCUCUUUUCUUUUUUCUAUUGGCCUUUGUUUGGCAAGCUGUUACAAGUUUUCGAUGA
rnacentral:rRNA from 1 species